rnacentral:tRNA from 1 species
GGAUAUAGCUCAGAGGCAAAGCUUUUGCCUCGCAUUCGCAAAGCCCUGGGUUCGAUCCCCAGUUCCA